rnacentral:rRNA from 1 species
AACGGAAAGGCCCUGCUUGCAGGGUACUCGAGUGGCGAACGGGUGAGUAACACGUGGGUGAUCUGCCCUGCACUUCGGGAUAAGCUUGGGAAACUGGGUCUAAUACCGGAUAGGAGCCAUCUUUAGUGUGGUGGUUGGAAAGUUUUUUCGGUGUAGGAUGAGCUCGCGGCCUAUCAGCUUGUUGGUGGGGUAAUGGCCUACCAAGGCGGCGACGGGUAGCCGGCCUGAGAGGGUGUACGGCCACAUUGGGACUGAGAUACGGCCCAGACUCCUACGGGAGGCAGCAGUGGGGAAUAUUGCACAAUGGGCGCAAGCCUGAUGCAGCGACGCCGCGUGGGGGAUGAAGGCCUUCGGGUUGUAAACUCCUUUCGCUAGGGACGAAGCUUUUUUGUGACGGUACCUAGAUAAGAAGCACCGGCUAACUACGUGCCAGCAGCCGCGGUAAUACGUAGGGUGCGAGCGUUGUCCGGAAUUACUGGGCGCAAAGGGCUCGUAGGUGGUUUGUCGCGUCGUCUGUGAAAUUCUGGGGCUUAACUCCGGGCGUGCAGGCGAUACGGGCAUAACUUGAGUGCUGUAGGGGUAACUGGAAUUCCUGGUGUAGCGGUGAAAUGCGCAGAUAUCAGGAGGAACACCGAUGGCGAAGGCAGGUUACUGGGCAGUUACUGACGCUGAGGAGCGAAAGCAUGGGUAGCGAACAGGAUUAGAUACCCUGGU